rnacentral:rRNA from 1 species
UACGAAGGGGGCUAGCGUUGCUCGGAAUCACUGGGCGUAAAGGGUGCGUAGGCGGCUUUUUAAGUCAGAGGUGAAAUCCUGGAGCUCAACUCCAGAACUGCCUUUGAUACUGGAGAGCUUGAGUCCGGGAGAGGUGAGUGGAACUGCGAGUGUAGAGGUGAAAUUCGUAGAUAUUUGCAAGAACACCAGUGGCGAAGGCGGCUCACUGGCCCGGUACUGACGCUGAGGUGCGAAAGCGUGGGGAGCAAACAGG